rnacentral:rRNA from 1 species
CGAGUGGCGGACGGGUGAGUAAUGUCUGGGAAACUGCCUGAUGGAGGGGGAUAACUACUGGAAACGGUAGCUAAUACCGCAUAACGUCGCAAGACCAAAGAGGGGGACCUUCGGGCCUCUUGCCAUCGGAUGUGCCCAGAUGGGAUUAGCUAGUAGGUGGGGUAACGGCUCACCUAGGCGACGAUCCCUAGCUGGUCCGAGAGGAUGACCAGCCACACUGGAACUGAGACACGGUCCAGACUCCUACGGGAGGCAGCAUG